rnacentral:misc_RNA from 1 species
UCCGGCUUGUCACCGGCAGUUUCUCCAGAGUGCCCGGCCGAACCGAUGGCAACUGAAGAUGGGGGUUGCGCUCGUUGCGGGACUUAACCCAACAUCUCACGGCACGAGCUGACGACAGCCAUGCAGCACCUGUGUGGACGCCAGCCGAACUGAAGGACCAGAUCUCUCUAGCCCAUACGUCCCAUGUCAAGGGUUGGUAAGGUUCUGCGCGUUGCUUCGAAUUAAACCACAUGCUCCACCGCUUGUGCGGGCCCCCGUCAAUUCCUUUGAGUUUCAGCCUUGCGACUGUACUCCCCAGGCGGCAUAUUUAACGCGUUAGCUCCGGCACAGAUCAACUGAAUGACCUACACCAAAUAUGCAUCGUUUAGGGCGUGGACUAC